rnacentral:rRNA from 1 species
UACGGGGGGUGGCGAGCGUUGUCCGGAAUCACUGGGCGUAAAGGGCGCGUAGGCGGCCUUCUAAGUCGAACGUGAAAUCCCCGGGCUCAACCCGGGAACUGCGUCCGAGACUGGAAGGCUCGAGUUCGGGAGAGGAAUGUGGAAUUCCAGGUGUAGCGGUGAAAUGCGUAGAUAUCUGGAGGAACACCGGUGGCGAAGGCGGCAUUCUGGACCGAAACU